GGAGAGAAAAACAAGAUCAUCUUUUUAGCUCCUCUAAAAUUAUUCCAUUGAUGUAAACCCACUAUAUUGAGGUCCCUAAGUAGCGUGGAAGCAUCGUUGGAGCGAUCAACCCAUUAUUUUCAUCUUUUGGAAACCCUAGGCUAUUGGAAAGUUGAAGAAGGAAGAUCGUGGGCAGCCCGAAUCAUAGUUUGGACUUAGCUUGAGUUGGAUCAUAUUGGAGAGCGUUUGAGGUACAGACGCACAGCCUGGUGAUCCACCUGUUUAGGACACCCUUUCUGCUAUUCGGAGUGCUCCUCUCUUUCCGGAGCUUAUACUUUUGGUAUAUAUAUUUAUUAGUGCAUUUGUAUAUAUUCGUUCAUGGGUACGGCGGGGCCCUGUCCCGUCAUAUGAUUCUGUCGGUCUGUUUAGAGGUCUGUGGACAUGUUUGUGGG